UAAACGACUCUCGGCAACGGAUAUCUAGGCUCUUGCAUCGAUGAAGAACGUAGCGAAAUGCGAUACUUGGUGUGAAUUGCAGAAUCCCGUGAACCAUCGAGUUUUUGAACGCAAGUUGCGCCCGAAGCCAUUAGGUCGAGGGCACGUCUGCCUGGGCGUCACAU
rnacentral:rRNA from 1 species